rnacentral:rRNA from 1 species
GACGAACGCUGGCGGCGUGCUUAACACAUGCAAGUCGAACGGAAAGGCCCUGCUUUUGUGGGGUGCUCGAGUGGCGAACGGGUGAGUAACACGUGAGUAACCUGCCCUUGACUUUGGGAUAACUUCAGGAAACUGGGGCUAAUACCGGAUAGGAGCUCCUGCUGCAUGGUGGGGGUUGGAAAGUUUCGGCGGUUGGGGAUGGACUCGCGGCUUAUCAGCUUGUUGGUGGGGUAGUGGCUUACCAAGGCUUUGACGGGUAGCCGGCCUGAGAGGGUGACCGGCCACAUUGGUACUGAGGUACGGCCCAGACUCCUACGGUAGGCAGCAGUGGGGAAUAUUGCACAAUGGGCGGAAGCCAGAUGCAGCAACGCCGCGUGCGGGAUGACGGCCUUCGGGUUGUAAACCGCUUUCGCCUGUGACGAGGCGAGAGUGACGGUAAUGGGUAAAGAAGCACCGGCUAACUACGUG